AAUCCAUCCGAGGGGUGUCCGAACCGGAAUGAGCCGGGCGGGCUGAGAUUUUACCCUUUGAACCUGAUCCGGGUCAUGCCGGCGCGAGGGACGGACCAGUUGCAGCAC
rnacentral:ncRNA from 2 species